CACGUAGGGCGCAAGCGUUGUCCGGAAUUAUUGGGCGUAAAGAGCUCGUAGGCGGCUUGUUGCGUCGGCUGUGAAAACCCGUGGCUUAACUGCGGGCUUGCAGCUGAUACGGGCGGGCUGGAGUUCGGUAGGGGAGACUGGAAUUCCUGGUGUAGCGGUGAAAUGCGCAGAUAUCAGGAGGAACACCGGUGGCGAAGGCGGGUCUCUGGGCCGAUACUGACGCUGAGGCGCGAAAGCGUGGGGAGCAAACAGG
rnacentral:rRNA from 1 species